CUUCAAGUCAUAAGAAAGAAGUUUGGGGCUGGGUGCAGUGACUCACACCUGUAAUCCCAACACUUUGAGAAGCUAAGGCCUUGUCGAAGUCAUCGGCAGUGAAGAAUGAGAUGUUAAAAUCAGAUGUGAUAUGCAUGGGGACAGGAGCCAUUCAAAGGCCGGUUUCAUCACUGAACAGCUAGACCUCCGUUCUGGUUGGCCAACCUCAGGAGCUGAUGGAUACAGGUUGGAACCAAGCCCAGGGGUCCUCCGGAAGAAUCUAAAACAGGCAAAAUAAAAUGUCUUCCAAACA